GAUAUAGCGGCGAACGGGUGAGUAACAUGUUGGAACCUGCCCCGGACUCAGGGAUAGCCCACCGAAAGGUGGAUUAAUACCGGAUGGUCCCGCAAGGGUAAAGCUUUUGCGGUCCGGGAGGGGCCUGCACAAUAUCAGCUAGUUGGUAAGGUAAUGGCUUACCAAGGCUUUGACGUUUAGCUGGUCUGAGAGGACUACCAGCCACAAUGGGACUGAGACACGGCCCAUACUCC
rnacentral:rRNA from 1 species